UCCUUAAGAUCAUCUUCCGAAAUCUCUC
rnacentral:sRNA from 1 species